GUAGUCUCGCACAGAUGCAUAUCAAUAAGCGGAGGAAAAGAAACUAACAAGGAUUCCCCUAGUAACGGCGAGUGAAGCGGGAAGAGCUCAAAUUUGAAAUCUUAAAGGGUUUCCCUUUACGAAUCGUAGUUUAAAGAAGUGUUUUCUGUUGAGGUUUUGGUAAAAGUUCUUUGGAAUAGGACAUCAUAGAGGGUGAGAAUCCCGUAUUUGACCUUUACUUUCAACUUUGUGAUACACUUUCAAAGAGUCGGAUUGUUUGGGAAUGCAGUCCAAAAUGGGUGGUAAAUUUCAUCUAAAGCUAAAUAUUGGCGAGAGACCGAUAGCGAACAAGUACCGUGAGGGAAAGAUGAAAAGAACUUUGAAAAGAGAGUUAAACAGUACGUGAAAUUGUCAAAAGGGAAGCGUUUGACACCAGUGUUGUUUUUCUGAAAAUCAAUUAAAGAACUGUUUAUGCUAAGCUGUUUAGACUUUAUCAGCUAUCUGUUUAGUUUUGAGCUUUUCUUUAAUGCACUUUUCAGUUAACAAGUCAACAUCAAUUUCUUUUGCUGUAAAAAAGCUUGAGGAAGGUGGCUUGAGAUUCGUCAUAAGUGUUUAUAGCCUCUUGCCUAUGCAGUCGGAGAGAUUGAGGUCUGCAGCGUAGAUCCUUCGGGGCUAAAUGCAUUUGUGCUAAGUUAUAGCAUUUUAUAGACAACUUGUUGACUAUGAUUUGUCUUGUAGCUUACUCGCUUAUGUUAUUUUACCUACGCUUAGGAUGUUGAACUACUGAGACAUAGA
rnacentral:rRNA from 1 species